UACGUAGGGUGCAAGCGUUGUCCGGAAUUACUGGGCGUAAAGCGUGCGCAGUCGGUUAUUUAAGUCGGAUGUGAAAUCCCCGGGCUCAACCUGGGAAUUGCAUUCGAUACUGGAUGGCUAGAGUUCGGCAGAGGGAAGUGGAAUUUCAGGUGUAGCGGUGAAAUGCGUAGAUAUCUGAAGGAACAUCAGUGGCGAAAGCGACUUCCUGGACCAGAACUGACGAUCAGGCACGAAAGCGUGGGGAGCAAACAGG
rnacentral:rRNA from 1 species